rnacentral:misc_RNA from 1 species
AAGUCGUAACAAGGUUUCCGUAGGUGAACCUGCGGAAGGAUCAUUACUAGAGCAAAGGAUAGACAGCGCCCGCGGAGCUUGCUCCCUGGGGCUACCUUACUUCGGUAAGGUUUAGAGUCGUCGAGCCUCUCGAAGAAGCUCGGUCCUGAACUCCACCCUUGAAUAAAUUACCUUUGUUGCUUUGGCGGGUCGCCUCGUGCCAACGGCUUCGGCUGUUGCGUGCUCGCCAGAGGACCACAACUCUUGUUUUUAGUGAUGUCUGAGUACUAUAUAAUAGUUAAAACUUUCAACAACGGAUCUCUUGGUUCUG